rnacentral:rRNA from 1 species
GAUGAACGCUAGCUACAGGCUUAACACAUGCAAGUCGAGGGGUAACGAGAGGAAAGCUUGCUUUCCUUGUCGACGACCGGCGCACGGGUGAGUAACGCGUAUCCAACCUGCCCCCAACUAGGGAAUAACCUUGCGAAAGUAAGACUAAUACCCUAUAAUUUCCUCAGAUGACAUCUGACGAGGAAUAAAGAUUUAUCGGUUGUGGAUGGGGAUGCGUCUGAUUAGCUUGUUGGCGGGGUAACGGCCAACCAAGGAAACGAUCAGUAGGGGUUCUGAGAGGAAGGUCCCCCACAUUGGAACGGAGACACGGUCCAAACUCCUACGGGAGGCAGCAGUGAGGAAUAUUGGUCAAUGGGCGGAAGCCUGAACCAGCCAAGUAGCGUGCAGGAUGACGGCCCUAUGGGUUGUAAACUGCUUUUAUACAGGAAUAAAGUUAGCCACGUGUGGUUAUUUGUAGGUACUGUAUGAAUAAGGACCGGCUAAUUCCGUGCCAGCCGCCGCGGUAA